UACGUAGGCAGCAAGCGUUGUUCGGAAUUACUGGGCGUAAAGAGUGUGUAGGCGGUGCUCUAAGUUCGGUGUGAAAUCUCCCGGCUCAACUGGGAGGGUGCGCCGGAAACUGGGGUGCUGGAGCGCGGGAGAGGAAAGCGGAAUUCCUGGUGUAGCGGCGAAAUGCGUAGAUAUCAGGAGGAACACCGGCGGUGUAGACGGCUUUCUGGACCGUAGCUGACGCUGAGACACGAAAGCGUGGGUAGCAAACAGG
rnacentral:rRNA from 1 species